GCCCGAGGGGCUUCCUUCACCACUGAGCUCAGUUGGUUAGAGUGUGGUGCUGAUAACAUCAAGGUUGCAGGUUCGAUCCCCAUAUGGGGCA